AGAGUGAACGCUGGCGGCAGGCCUAACACAUGCAAGUCGAACGGCAGCACAGGGGAGCUUGCUCCCUGGGUGGCGAGUGGCGGACGGGUGAGGAAUACAUCGGAAUCUACCCAGUCGUGGGGGAUAACCUCGAGAAACCGGGACUAAUACCGCAUACGACCCACGGGUGAAAGCGGAGGACCGCAAGGCUUCGCGCGAUUGGAUGAGCCGAUGUCGGAUUAGCUUGUUGGCGGGGUAAUGGCCCACCAAGGCGACGAUCCGUAGCUGGUCUGAGAGGAUGAUCAGCCACACUGGAACUGAGACACGGUCCAGACUCCUACGGGAGGCAGCAGUGGGGAAUAUUGGACAAUGGGCGCAAGCCUGAUCCAGCCAUGCCGCGUGAGUGAAGAAGGCCCUCGGGUUGUAAAGCUUCGUUUUGUGGGAAGAAAGCAAGUCGGUUAAUACCCGGUUAGUACUAGACGGUACCCAAAG
rnacentral:rRNA from 1 species